rnacentral:rRNA from 1 species
AUUGAACGCUGGCGGCAUGCCUUACACAUGCAAGUCGAACGGUAACAGGUCUUCGGAUGCUGACGAGUGGCGAACGGGUGAGUAAUACAUCGGAACGUGCCUAGUAGUGGGGGAUAACUACUCGAAAGAGUGGCUAAUACCGCAUGAGAUCUACGGAUGAAAGCAGGGGAUCACAAGACCUUGUGCUACUAGAGCGGCCGAUGGCAGAUUAGGUAGUUGGUGGGAUAAAAGCUUACCAAGCCGACGAUCUGUAGCUGGUCUGAGAGGACGAUCAGCCACACUGGGACGGUGAGACGGCCCAGACUCCUACGGGAGGCAGCAGUGGGGAAGUUUGGACAAUGGGCGAAAGCCUGAUCCAGCAAUGCCGCGUGCAGGAUGAAGGCCUUCGGGUUGUAAACUGCUUUUGUACGGAACGAAAAGCCCUGGGUUAAUACCCUGGGGUCAUGACGGUACCGUAAGAAUAAGCACCGGCUAACUACGUGCCAGCCGCCGCCGUAA